GGGGCCGUCGUCCAACGGGAGGACACUGGAUUUGCACUCCAGGAAUGAGGGUUCGAUUCCCUUCGGUCUCCACCA
rnacentral:tRNA from 1 species